UGUGUGUAUAUGUGUAUAUAUAUAUGCGUGUUUGUAUAUGUGUGUGUAUAUAUAUAUGUAUGUGUGUGUGUG